AUUUUGAAUUUGCUGGCGAUUGGCAAUAUUUAAGAUGUUGAAUCUGCUGCAAUAUUCACAGCUUCACUGUAAGACGAUAAAUGAUAUUGCAAUGAAAUUACAAAAGGUGAAGAACUUACUGGUAAUUCUUUCGGCGUGAAACCUCAGUGUGGUCUUCUCUUAUUAUUGCAGCAGCUUCAAGAUUGCCGCGCAGGCAAGUAUAAGCUCAGCUUCUCCGGUUUUGUUGUUUAAAUAGGGAAGGAAAAUGCACAUGUCAAUAUUUAUAAGGGGAUGAAAGAGAUGAGGCGGCAAGGACAGGCAGAAAUUCAAAUUCAAUGUUAAGGAAAUUCUUGUUUUAUAAUUUUGCUUAGACAAAAUUGACAAUUUGAUCCCUAAAAUAUACACCUCCUCACGACGAGUUCGUCCCUGAAAUUUAUUUUGUGUACUAAUUGGUCCAGACGUUGCGAACGUUAGGACGAAUUGGUCCUUCCGUUCGAAAAAAUGAGAGGUCCCUGACGGAGAUUGCCUCUGGACGCUGUUAAUUGCAGUGUUGAUCGUCCCCUCAAGUGAAAAGGCUUCCCGCCCCUAAUUGCUCCAAAUUGUUGUUUGAUCAAACCCUAAUUGAGCUUGUUGCUUCCACUGCAAUCAUCAAAUCCACCCAGACGCCUCAAGAUUUCUGCAAUUAAGAGUGUCGCCCGUGAUCUUCCGAAGUUGCAAUCAUAGUUCUUGGUCUUUUUCCGGUGAGCAGCACCUGGGAUCAACCGCUGCGGGAGUUGGCUCGCGCUCGAAGGUUGUUCUGCUGCGUUGCACAUGGGCAGGAGAUGUGAGGUUGCAGUUAUAUGUCAUGACGUGAAGCUGCUGAAGGAGAGAUUCAACUCGGGUGUUUCUCUCAGCAAGUCUAUUUCCUUUGGGCAAACAAGUUGCAUCUUAGCAUCCUCGAGCUCGUCCAUCAAUAGCAGUGCAUCCUCAGAUUGAAUUCCUGAUGAUAGAGAGACCUGCAAAGCUCCAAAUGAUAGUAGCCUGGAAUCGUCAAUUGAUGGUUCAUCCUCACGAAAGGAAUCUGAAGACAAGAACAUCGCUGGAGCAGAGCAAAAAGAGCUGUCGGAUGAAGGGUGGGAGCUCUAUGAGAAUUGAUGGAAGUUGAUUGCAGGCAAUGAAAUGAAAGACGGGAAUUUGUUAAUAAUCGUUUACGGUUCGGUUUGGUAGAGUACGAAUUGGCAUUUUGUACAGAGAAUAGAUCCAGAAUAAUUGACUGAGUCUUGCGUUCUGUUUCCUUUUGCGGGUGGUUGCUGCUGUUUAACUGAUACUACAUUGAUGGAAAUGUUCUUUGACUAUCUAUAUACAUAUAGGCUGCAUGUUUAUUUUUUGCUA